GGCGGGGCCAACUAGCCCGGAAGUCGCGGCGGCAGCCUCAGGCUUGCAUUGCAGAGAAAGGCUCCUGGGGCACAGGCGGCUUCCCCAGCCUCUGACUCCUGCAGUGGCCGGGGGUCCCCAGCGUCCAGGGGCCAGCAGCUUCCCCAGGCCACCCCCUUGGGCAGUUUCAUCGCACAGAGCGCCUCGGGGACACCUGCGGGCGAACACCUUUCUCCGGCACCUGAAAAGCACACGACUUAAAAACUGGCCUUUGAAUUGAACUCGUAGACAUUGAUUUAGCCCUUUUCAGACCCACACUCACAGUUUCUAUUGGAAAACAUGUUUUGUCAAGUGAAGGGGAUAUUUCUCUAAGAAGCAUUCCGAAGCAGCCACACAGAGCUACAGGAAACGAACACUGCAAAAAUCAGUUUGUUGAAAUAGAAGACACCCCUGCAUGGACUUUUGUUAUUCACUCUUGUAGAAAAGACUUCCCCCUUUUCAAGAAUAACUACCAUCCUGAGAUCACCCUCCCUUCCCUUCCGUAACUGCCACCAUUGAGAAGCAUUUGUGCGGCCCUGAGCUCACCAGGCAGCACCUACAGUUGGUCUGUACCUGACAAAGUCUGGAUUAUGUCUUCAGUUUGCACGAGGCUUCCUCUUUCCACGAACAGAUAUCCGUUUCAUGACUGGGUGAGUGAGACGUCUCCAAAGGAAUGGCCGUGGUCAGCAUCCCGGACUCAUCAGAGCUAAAUUACCGCUCGAUAAUAUUGCAUUUUGUGCUGCACGGAUGCUCUCGCACACCUGAGCGGACCGGGGCGCUCCGCUGUCUAAUUUCUCCUUUGUGCAACAGUCUGGCGUAAUCCAGGAGUUUAAACAACCGAUGGGCCAACUGAUCCACAAUUUGGGGUCCCUGGUUUUUUUUGGAGCAAACAAUUAUGUGUGAGGUGCUGGACAUGCCAAGAUGAAAACGCAGAACCAAGUUGAGAGUUUCCAGCUCAGUAACCUCCAUCCAGGUACCACCAUGCCCAAUCCCUGUGCAACUUCUACCACACUAAGGCAUUGAUUAAAAAGAGAAAAAUGGCCCUAACCGGUUUGGCU